GGCGUGCCUAAUACAUGCAAGUCGAACGCACUCUCGUUUAGAUUGAAGGAGCUUGCUCCUGAUUGAUAAACAUUUGAGUGAGUGGCGGACGGGUGAGUAACACGUGGGUAACCUGCCCUAAAGUGGGGGAUAACAUUUGGAAACAGAUGCUAAUACCGCAUAAAACCUAACACCGCAUGGUGUAGGGUUGAAAGAUGGUUUCGGCUAUCACUUUUGGAUGGACCCGCGGUGCAUUAGUUGGUUGGUGAGGUAAAGGCUCACCAAGACCGUGAUGCAUAGCCGACCUGAGAGGGUAAUCGGCCACACUGGGACUGAGACACGGCCCAGACUCCUACGGGAGGCAGCAGUAGGGAAUCUUCCACAAUGGACGAAAGUCUGAUGGAGCAACGCCGCGUGAGUGAAGAAGGUUUUCGGAUCGUAAAACUCUGUUGUUGGAGAAGAAUGUAUCUGAUAGUAACUGAUCAGGUAGUGACGGUAUCCAACCAGAAAGCCACGGCUAACUACGUG
rnacentral:rRNA from 1 species